rnacentral:rRNA from 1 species
AGUUCCCUACGGGGCGCAGCAGUGGGGGAUAUUGGACAAUGGGGGGAACCCUGAUCCAGCGACGCCGCGUGAGUGAAGAAGUAUUUCGGUAUGUAAAGCUCUGUCAGCAGGGAAGAAAGAAAUGACGGUACCUGACCAAGAAGCCCCGGCUAACUACGUGCCAGCAGCGGCGGUAAUACGUAGGGGGCAAGCGUUAUCCGGAAUUAAUGGGGGUAAAGGGAGCGUAGACGGUUAAGUAAGUCUGGAGUGCAAGGACGGGGCCCAACCCGGGGACUGCUAUGGAAACUAUUGAAGUUGAGUGAGGG